UAUACCGUCGGUUCAAUUUUGACCUAAAAAAAAUACCGUAAACGGUCACCCUGUUGAGCAGAGCAAUACAGUGUGACCGACCCUCAGAACUAUACCGAAAUAUGCCGGCUCAUUUUAAAAGUAUACCGCCUCGAAUUCCUCUCGAAUCGUACUUUAGCCUCCUGUUGCGCUGUUGCAAGUCAUUAAGUGUUGCUUAGCGGCCAUUGCUAUUGCAUUUGGCAUUCCUCGGAGCAUCCUGCAGCGAUAUUUUACUCCAUUUUUGUAAAGGUUUUCUCUUCGGCUCGAGAAAUGGAUCUUGUCCAAUACAUUUUAAAGUUUUCCAACCAUUAUUAUGACCUAAGUAUCAACAAGCUUAUCAGUUCGCAAAGAAGCUCGCGGUUGACUACCCAGAAAAUUGGGAUAAAGAUCAGAUGGCGGGUCGCCAUUGGUAUACGAAAUUCAUGCGCCGGCACAACGAACUUGAGUUUAUCACACCAGAAUUUUUCGACAUCGAAAGUGUCGUCGGAACCGUUAAAAUCAAGAGCAUUUUAAACAAUCUGCAUACCACCUUUGGAAGACAUUGUUCCUCUGCAAGCGGCUACAUCAAACAAGCCUACAAGAAAUGGUCGAAAGCUGAUGCAAAGCUUCGCGCCUACUGAAGGUUAAAGAUGCUAAAAGAGCUUCUGAGCUACCAGAUAUAAAGGCAUCUGUUUCUUCCCAGAAAAAGCGUGCACGGAAGGCACCACAAGUCAAACAAUCAACUAAGCUCAUCGGCUAAGCGCACAAAGAUUACGGAGAAGUUCAAGAAUAAUCGGACGACUCGGAGCUAAUCCCCAUAUGCUUUCUGGAAACAAAGAUACACAUUAUGCUGUCCAAUUCGCUUGUUCUUCCUCCACUUGCGAGACACAGAGGACGAACAGAAGGCCAUCGCCCAGUAUCACUGUAAGAACUCCAUCGAGAGUAAGGACCUCGAGUCUUGUGGGUUAUUGGAAACGCAUACACCUAAGAGCGAGCACUGUCGUGGCGGAGCUCUGUGGCAAAACGAGCCGGCUUUGCAAGCUGCAGAAGUCUCUGAUCGUGGAAAGCAAUAUUGAUCAUUGAAAUAGGCGUGUGAAGCAAUUGGUUUUUUUCAUUUCUUUCAGUAAAAAAUAUGUACAUUUAUAUUCUUUGUACAACCUAGAAUUUUGAAUUUAGGCUAUCCGUAAAAAAAAGCAUUGAUCUCAAAGUUAGAAGUUUAUCAUUUCAUUUCCGUCCCACCCCAGAGGUAAAGAUUUACAUGGGUUCGUUUUUGUUUGAAGUUUUGUCCCUAAUAGUUUCAGUGGUAGCCUUUGAUGAAGAUUUGAAGACAAAAAGUACAAAUUCUUUACUAGUUUCGGAUAUACAUCUGUACAUAGCAUUUUGUUGCUUACUGAUAUAUCAAAAUAUCGUGUUAAAUUGUUUAAUUGUUAAAUUUCGUUUAAUUUAUUGAAUAUUUUAAUAUUUUAAGACUAAUUAAAACAAAUAAAGGGUAUCACAAGCUUAAUUCUAAAUCUCGAUAGCUGCAUCCAAAAUGCCUUGACGCUCAUCUUAGACGGGGAACAGCUCGUUGUAAGUGAAA
rnacentral:misc_RNA from 1 species